CUUCACAUUGUGAAAAAAUUUAUCUUUCUCUCUUUUUCCUUGGAAUUCUCAUAGGGCAAAUUUAAGCUAUGAUGUUGCAAAACUAACUUUACUUAGUGGAAACAAAAGGGAUGAAAAUGAUGCAACAGCCAAAAGAAGCAUCAUCAGAGUGGGGUAGGCCUUAAUCCAAGCGCAAAGGACCAGGCUCAAAAAGAAGAAAUUGGAAAGCUGUGGAAACGGGAUUUUGUAUUUGUCUCAGAUGGGGCAUAAAUCGACCUGAGAGGUUAAUUCUGAAACCCUUUGAAGAGGCACUUCUGGAGAACUACCUAAGAAAUAAUUAGAAAUAACAACUUUCGCAUCAGGCCAACUGCUCAUGAAGAAUUCAAAGUGCUUUUUGAGGCAGAGGAGUUUCUAUGUGUUGCAGAACAGGAAAGCAGAAUUCUGAGAAAAAACACCAAAACAUAUGCUGGUAAAUCUCUGUGGUACCACCAAACAGCUGCUCUUUUGUAUCUCUUACCAGCAUCACUCUGACAAUAUGCUGGCUCCAAUUGGUUCAAAGGGGUUUUUUCCCAUAAUUUGAUUUUGAAGCCCCCUAAUGAGCAUUUUUGUCUCUUGUUUGCUUUGAGAGUAUCUCUAUGGCACAGCCUUGACAUAUUUUGACCUUGAAAGAUCCUGAGAGGAUGCAGGAAGGGAGCACAAAUUCCUCCACUUGUAUAAGCUGAUCACUAUUAGCA